GUGCUUGCACCUUUCAAGCGAGUGGCGAACGGGUGAGUAACACGUGGAUAACCUGCCUCAAGGCUGGGGAUAACAUUUGGAAACAGAUGCUAAUACCGAAUAAAACUUAGUAUCGCAUGAUAUCAAGUUAAAAGGCGCUACGGCGUCACCUAGAGAUGGAUCCGCGGUGCAUUAGUUAGUUGGUGGGGUAAAGGCUUACCAAGACGAUGAUGCAUAGCCGAGUUGAGAGACUGAUCGGCCACAUUGGGACUGAGACACGGCCCAAACUCCUACGGGAGGCUGCAGUAGGGAAUCUUCCACAAUGGGCGCAAGCCUGAUGGAGCAACGCCGCGUGUGUGAUGAAGGCUUUCGGGUCGUAAAGCACUGUUGUAUGGGAAGAAAUGCUAAAAUAGGGAAUGAUUUUAGUUUGACGGUACCAUACCAGAAAGGGACGGCUAAAUACGUGCCAGCAGCCGCGGUAAUACGUAUGUCCCGAGCGUUAUCCGGAUUUAUUGGGCGUAAAGCGAGCGCAGACGGUUGAUUAAGUCUGAUGUGAAAGCCCGGAGCUCAACUCCGGAAUGGCAUUGGAAACUGGUUAACUUGAGUGUUGUAGAGGUAAGUGGAACUCCAUUGUA
rnacentral:rRNA from 1 species